GACGAACGCUGGCGGCGUGCUUAACACAUGCAAGUCGAACGAUGAUGCCAGCUUGCUGGUGGAUUAGUGGCGAACGGGUGAGUAACACGUGAGCAACCUGCCCCUGACUUCGGGAUAACCGCGGGAAACCGUGGCUAAUACCGGAUAUGACGCGCUAUCGCAUGGUGGUGUGUGGAAAGAUUUAUUGGAUGGGGAUGAGCCCGCGGCCUAUCAGCUUGUUGGUGGGGUGGUGGCCCACCAAGGCGACGACGGGUAGCCGGCCUGAGAGGGUGACCGGCCAGACUGGUACUGACACAAGGGCCAGACUCCUACGGGAGGCAGCAGUGGGGAAUAUUGCACAAUGUGCGCAAGCCUGAUGCAGCGACGCCGCGUGAGGGAUGACGGCCUUCGGGUUGUAAGCCUCUUUCAGUAGGGAAGAAGGCCUUCGGGUUGACGGUACCUUCAGAAGAAGCGCCGGCUAACUACGUG
rnacentral:rRNA from 1 species